AUGUACAUAGGUUACCUGAAAGGGGCACGCAAACAGCACAAAUAAAUAAAUAAGUCGAGACACAAAGAUUUUACGUCCUCACGUAUAAUCUCUCUACUGAUGUGCGCAUGCGUGACAAACAAUUGGCGGUUAGGUAAAUAACGGAGGCCCGUCACCUAUAUUAGAUACAUGUUAGUUAUAGGACUCUAUUGGAUUCAGGGAUGAAAUGAAAAUUAUGGGGUUUAUAGGAGAUGAAUAUGAAUAUAAUGAUAAAUGAAAGUGGAAUAUCAUGAUAUAUACCUUGAUGAAACAUAAAUAACAGAAAAGACAAAUGACCCCGUGACACGUAAAUAGUAAAAAUGAACAUUGCACAGUGUUCAGCAUUGAUCCUGUUAAUUUUUUCGGGACACGAACCACAGUAUCCUCAAGAAAACAGCGGAACUAGCAUCGAUCUAUUGACUUUUAAAUAGUAUCCAGAUACUUUAGACGCACCCGAUUUGAAUUUAUUUCCAACGUGCGAGAUAAGCUGGUGUACGUGAUUACCAGAGAGAAACUUUUUUGUCUAGCAGUCUGUAUGUUGAUUCUUGUAUAGACAUUCAUGUCAUAGUUUACUACCGUAUUAAGUAUACAAGAAGGCUUAAAUCCAAACCAGUAUCACUGCGGAAUUGUAUAAAACUUUAUUCGAUAAUACUUGCUGGAGAUGUGGCAACAAAUCCAGGUCCUACUAAAUACCCAUGUGGGUACUGUGCAAGGCCGGUCGCGAAGAAUCACAGUGCAGUGUAUUGUGAGGGAUGUUAUUAUUGGUGUAAUAUUAAGUGUGCAGGCAUUUCCCCAAAUGAAUACCAAGAACUGGCAAAAUCAACAGAUCCGUGGAUAUGCAAUACUUGUAACUCUUCAUUUUACAGAUUCCUUUUUUUUAGCUGCAAUGAAAGCUUUCAGUCUGUUACAUCUCAUGUAUCGAUACCUGAAUAUGAGUUAGAUGUUUUUGACACAAUAAGUGAUAUACGUAAAUCUCAACCAAACAAAUUUCUGUGUGCUUCUCUGAACAUUAAUAAUUUGCGAUACAAAUUCUGUCAUAUCAAAUCUUGCAGAAAAAUACAGUUGAUCUACUUUUUCUAGGUGAAAGUAAGCUAGAUGAAAGUUUUGUAGACUCACAAUUCUUCGUAGACAAUUAUCAUUUUUGGAGAAAUGACAGGAAUGCUCAUUGGGGAGGAAUAGCUGCCAACCUACGGUCGGAUCUGGCUGGCGACAGGAACCCCAAAUUAGAGUUUAAGUUUGAUAUACUGUAGUGGAUGGAUUGUCAGGGGAGGUAACUAGAGUCGCUGAUUGGGACUAGGGCGUAACUUGGCAACAACAAAAAAAGGGAAAAUUUUAGUGUGAUGUAAAAGUAAAGCAGAAUGCCUAGAGACCAGUAACUUCAGAAUUGAAGAGAUGCAGGCCUUUGUUCUAAAUGGUGAAUGAGUGAAUUAUAGGGUUGUCUUGGAUUUAUCAGUGAAACCUGUGAUGUUUUAGUGAAGCAGAAUAGUUACAGAUCAUAAGAUAUGCAGGUCUUUGUUCAGCAUGGUGUAUAUGGAAAACACAGUGGAUGGCCAGCAUAGAAAACAUUUAAUGAGUGUGCUUCAAUACAGUUACAGACUGGUUUGGUUAUUCAGGGCGCCACGACUUGUUUUGGGACUGCCAAAAAACUGUUUAUUGCCACCAAAAGCAAAGUCUGUUCACAAUUCUAUUUACACCCUAUAUUGUUUGUAAUUUUCCGUAAUUCCUUCAAAAAAGCUGACAAUCAGCGUAUUUUUUAUGAUAAGUAACAUCAAAAUACAAGGAACUAACUCUGGUUAACCCUAUUGCAUCAAGUAAACAAAGUAAAAAAGCACUUUCAGAUGACAUUCCGAAAGUGUACCAGUAUCCAGAUAGCUCAUUUUGGAUAUUUUUUUGUACAGAGUUUUAUAGCAGUUUUCUGUUAAUGAAAUAUUGACAAAAGACCUAAUCAAUGUAAAAUGAAUUUUGUUAAAUAUUAGUUUACAAUGUGACCUGAAACAGACCUUUUCAUUAUGUUGUAACAUGUUGCAUGGUAUCAAGCUUGUAUACAUAUAUUAAGGCGUCCACUAUUUCAAGUUGACAUCCUUGGUGACAUUUUUAAGAAAAAGGCUUGAAUGUUAUGACCAGAAGUACAAAGUAAUGUAAAACCCCAUUUGAAAACUCUGUUACUGGUUUUUGGAAGAUAUCAUUUACCACUUUAUUCUUUGAUAAGUGUGCAAUAAUCAUAAGUGUUAUGAAUACAUUACUUUAAACAUCUGGGAACGCAAUUAUGGUAACUUUCCUGUUAAAAACAGCACUCUGCUCCUUUUUUGGCAGCCCUAUGCCCCUUUUUGACAGCACCCUGCCCUUUUUGAGCUCUAGAAAUAACACUAAGUAAUGUUUAAAAAAUUACAUUAACUUGAUACAAUCUUAAAGUUAACAUUGUUUUGCACUGUGUUGCAACUUUUACCGUGUAAUUUAAAAAAAAAAAAUUAUAUAAUUUAUGGUAUUUCCUCAAGCUCAAAUAGGGACAGAUUUCAAAGUCAUAACCACUGUACAUAAUUAUUGCAGAGAAUUCAUUACACCAAUAACUUUGAUAAAAGAAACCUAGCUACUAGAAGUAUUGGUAAACAAUUAUAAAAUGCAUAUACAAAUGCAUAUAUAAUUAUAAAACUUUCGAGAAUAUUUUUUUUUUAGGGAGCCUUAAGUAAAAGGUUUUAAUCAGACAGAACUUAGCUCCAACACUGAAAUUUACGGCUGAGGCCUAUGAGACUGUUUUAAAUUUUGCUUUCUACAUUCAAAAAUAACCAUGUGGCAGAAGUAAAGCCUACCUACAUUUCUUCCACAAUAUGUAAACUAAAGAGUAAAUGAGUAAAAGCAAAAUAAAGAACUUUUUACUGCAUAUUACUUAGUAUUUUCAAAGAUGUCUAACCCUGCACCCUUCCAUAUCAGAAGUGAGAUUCACUUUAAACAGCAAGAAAUUGCUUAUCAAAUGAAAAAUUUCCACUUUUGUACAAUCAGUAAUAAAUCUUGAAAAAAAGUUUAACUUAGUAGAAAAAAAAAAGAAAAAGAAAAAAAGUUUGGUCCUAGUGCGGCUUAAACCUACACCCUCCUGAAAAAUUAAAGUAGGUUUAUGGUAGGAAUUAGAUACUCUUUAAAAGGAGGUACACUAUUAUAGGUCCAUUAUUUUAAGUUUUUUUGAAAGACAAAACAAAUUUUACAAUUGAAGAGAGGUAACUCAAUUUUUAAAAAGAACACUUAAAAGCCCUUAGUGAAUGGAAUUUUAAAUUGAGGAAUUAGUUUCAAGCAAGGCUAAAGUGACGUAAAAUUUUAAGAUAAAAAAAUUUAAGGUCAUAUUUCUUGUUCAGUCUAAAUAUUUUAUUUACACAUGCAUGGAUUCACUUUUAACAAACUUUGCAUAAAAUUUAACUAUAAUAAGAAAAUAUUUUGACCCUAAUUUUAAGGUACAUGUACAAGAUUUAAGGUAAUUAUUAAAUUGUUCAGUGGCUCCUUAUAAAUAAUUAUGUGCAUCUAAUAUUUCUGUGUUGUUUUUUUUUAUUUUGAAAAAUCUCUCUUUUUGUAGUGUGAAGCAACAGUCGAGCAGAAUGGUUACAGACUAUUAAUUCAGAACUGAAGAGAUGCAGGUCUCUGUUCAACAUGCUGUAUGAGGGAACUAUUGUGGAAUUUUGGAUUUCAUGGCAGUCAUAGAAAUAUUUAAUAAAUAACCAGAUAAUUUAUAUUAAGAAUCAUUUACCACUUACAAGCUGCAUUUAGAGUUACAGAAUAGCUGAACAGAUACUAUCAGUUAAAAACAAACAAACUCAUCUUUCAUUCAUAAAACAAAUUUUACAGUUCAAGGGAGCCAACUCAAAUUUUAAAAAACAACACUAAAAUGCCAUUGCUUUCACAGAAAUUGUCACAUUUCAGAAUGUAAUCAGUUUUAUAGUUUUGGAUUGAGUAUGAAUUACAUUGGCAUUUUAGAAUAGAUAGAUGCUUCAGUAAUUUCUAUAAAUGCAACAUUGUAUUUUCAUCACCAAUUAACUGCUACCAUACCAUAUAUUUAUUCAGGUCUAUAGGACUGUGAUGUGUGUACCAGUCUAUCAGGCUAUCCCAUUCUUUCCAGUCAACAAAUUGGCAAUGGCUACAUGGAUUCUCGAGUAACUUGGCAUUACUUUUCACAGUAAUAAAGACAGAUUCCAAAAGCUUUUAGAGAAAUAUAUGAGGCAAAGCUAUCAGCAGUAUGCCAGAGACACAUCAAGAAGUUCACAUUGUUUUGCACAGAUUUGUGUUCCACAUGUAUGGCCUUAGUGGAAUUGUCAUAGUAUAAGCUGCCGAAUGUGCGAAAAAUUUUGACACCUUGAGUUUGCCAGAAGCAACAAAGAGUAAAUUAAUACGCAAGGACCAGGUUUCGUGCUGGAGCAAUCAAGUUAAUGAUGCUUGGCUCUGCUAUGAUAGCCAUACAGAUUUGAAGAAGCAACUUGAUUGAAAGUUUUACCUGUUGUGUAGACAGGAUAAGCUAGCUUGGUGAAAGGCAAAGAAGGAAAAUGACCUUAGAAAAGACAAGAUACAACAGGUUCAAGAUCUAAAGGACCGGAAUGUCUGUCAUUCAGGUUAACAUCAGAGUUGGACAGCUUCUUGUAACAGAAUAAAACAUAACAGAGUUCAAGGGGCCUGUACAGCUUGUUUGUGAGGAGAUCAGGGUUAUUUUAGAUACCAUCUGAGUCAGAGUGUGCAUAUUGUUCUGCCAAGGUCUGAUUCCUAGACUAGGGUCUGAGUGGUGUGGUAUUUGUUUCAGAACCAUCCACAUCACAGAAUCUCUCACACUAGUGUUCCAGUUACACAAGCAUGAAGAAACAGGGAUUGAUCUGGUCAUAUGCUGGUAUCUGUAUUUGGAAUGGAUGAUACCCCUGUGCCAUACACACUGGAGAUACAUGUUGAUAUAAAAAAAACGUAUUUUCAGCUACAAAAAAUCUGUAGAUUUUAAAGAUAUUUUGCUGCAUUAAUGACACACAAAAAUACUUCAGAAUGGAAAGAAAAAAUGUUAGGGUCACCAUGCAGCUAAGAGAUAUAUUUAGAAAAAAAUUUAAAAACUG